UACGGAGGGUGCGAGCGUUGUCCGGAAUCACUGGGCGUAAAGGGCGCGUAGGCGGCUGGGGAAGUCGGCGGUGAAAGCCCGGAGCUCAACUCCGGGUCGGCCGUCGAGACUCCUCGGCUCGAGCUCACUAGAGGCAGAUGGAAUUCCGGGUGUAGCGGUGGAAUGCGUAGAGAUCCGGAAGAACACCGGUGGCGAAGGCGGCUCGCUGGGCAGUGGCUGACGCUGAGGCGCGACAGCGUGGGGAGCAAACAGG
rnacentral:rRNA from 1 species